rnacentral:rRNA from 1 species
CCUACGGGGUGCUGCAGUGAGGAAUAGUGGUCAAUGGCCGGAAGGCUGAACCAGCCAUGCCGCGUGAAGGGCAGGGCCCUAUGGGCGUUAAACUUCUUUUGUGCGGGAGCAAGAAUGGGCACGUGUGGCCAGACGAGAGUACCGUAGGAAUAAGCAGCGGCUAACUCCGGGCCAGCAGCCGCGGGAAUACGGGGGAUGCAAGCGUUAUCCGGAUUUAUUGGGUUUAAAGGGUGCGUAGGCUGUGAGGUAAGUCAGCGGGGAAAUGCCCCCGCUCACCGGGGUGAAGUGCCAUUGAUACGGCCUUGCUGGACUGCGGAUGCCGUGGGCGGAAUGUGUGGUGUAGCGGUGACAUGC